rnacentral:rRNA from 1 species
AACGAACGCUGGCGGCAUGCCUAACACAUGCAAGUCGAACGAUUGCCUUCGGGUGAUAGUGGCGCACGGGUGCGUAACGCGUGGGAAUCUGCCCUUAGGUUCGGAAUAACAGCUGGAAACGGCUGCUAAUACCGGAUGAUAUCGCGAGAUCAAAGAUUUAUCGCCUGAGGAUGAGCCCGCGUUGGAUUAGGUAGUUGGUGGGGUAAAGGCCUACCAAGCCGACGAUCCAUAGCUGGUCUGAGAGGAUGAUCAGCCACACUGGGACUGAGACACGGCCCAGACUCCUACGGGAGGCAGCAGUGGGGAAUAUUGGACAAUGUGCGCAAGCCUGAUCCAGCAAUGCCGCGUGAGUGAUGAAGGCCCUAGGGUUGUAAAGCUCUUUUACCCGGGAAGAUAAUGACUGUACCGGGAGAAUAAGCCCCGGCUAACUCCGUG